CGUGUAGGCGGCCAGACAGGUCCGUUGUGAAAACUGGAGGCUCAACCUUCAGACGUCGACGGAAACCGUCUGGCUAGAGUCCGGAAGAGGAGAGUGGAAUUCCUGGUGUAGCGGUGAAAUGCGCAGAUAUCAGGAAGAACACCGAUGGCGAAGGCAGCUCUCUGGGACGGUACUGACGCUGAGACGCGAAAGCGUGGGGAGCGAACA
rnacentral:rRNA from 1 species